UACGAAGGGGGCUAGCGUUGUUCGGAAUUACUGGGCGUAAAGCGCGCACAGGCGGCUAUCCAAGUCAGUGGUGAAAGCCCAGAGCUCAACUCUGGAAUUGCCUUUGAGACUGAGUGGCUUGAGUACGGGAGAGGUGAGUGGAAUUCCCAGUGUAGAGGUGAAAUUCGUAGAUAUUGGGAAGAACACCGGUGGCGAAGGCGGCUCACUGGCCCGUAACUGACGCUCAUGCACGACAGCGUGGGGAUCAAACAGG
rnacentral:rRNA from 1 species